GUUGCAAAGAACUUUGAAGAGAGAGUUCAAGAGUACGUGAAACUGCUGAGAGGCAAACUGGUGGGCCCUCGAAAUCCCGUCUGCGGGGAGAUUCAGUCGGGUGUCGGCGGCCGUCUCUAAAAUGGGUCUGUCGCAACCGAAGUUCGGGGCACAUUCCGAGGGACGAGUUCCGCUGGAACCCGACGCAUUUCCCGCCCGCACGAAAGGACGCCGCAGCCGGUCGGGUAGCUGCGCGUGUCGGCCAUGAGGACGCUGCAACGGCAGGUGACCGGCGGCCCCAGGCUUCUUCGGAGGCACUGACGGUCGACGGUUGAUUAGCCGGCUCGUCCGUGGCGCGACACCCGACCGAGGUAAUAGAGCGAACGUCUCCACGGAGAACGUCUGCAAUCCACUACUUUCAAACGAGAGAGCGAGCCGUCGGACAGGCGCGUUCCUGCGUGGUCGGACAGUCACCGCACUGGUCGAUCUGGUGGGAGCGCGUCGAUCGUACCGAGUCAGGAUCUCGCGGAGGAUGAAGAAAGGCUGGCGGCGAGUAGGUCGGUAACCCACCCGACCCGUCUUGAAACACGGACCAAGGAGUCUAACAUGUGCGCAAGUCGCGGGGUCUUGUUCAGGCCCAAAGGCGAAAUGAAAGUGAAGGCCGCCGCUUCCCCUUAUUCAGUUAGGGGCGGAGUGAGGCGCGCCAGGUCGGGACUCGCACGUGACACGGCACGUGACGAAGCACCGACGACCCGCCCUGUUCUAUCUUCUCGAUAGGAACUCAAACGGAGUUUGAGCGCACACGUUGGGACCCGAAAGAUGGUGAACUAUGCCUGGGCAGGACGAAGCCAGAGGAAACUCUGGUGGAGGUCCGCAGCGGUUCUGACGU
rnacentral:rRNA from 1 species